rnacentral:tRNA from 1 species
UCCCUAGUGGCUCAGGCGGUAAAGAACCUGCCUGCAAAGCAGGAGACCUGGGUUUGAUCCCUGGGUUGGGAA